GAGUUUGAUCUUGGCUCAGAUUGAACGCUGGCGUCAUGCCUUACACAUGCAAGUCGAACGGCAGCACGGGAGCUUGCUCCUGGUGGCGAGUGGCGAACGGGUGAGUAAUGCAUCGGAACGUAUCCUGGAGUGGGGGAUAACGUAGCGAAAGUUACGCUAAUACCGCAUAUUCUGUGAGCAGGAAAGCGGGGGACCUUCGGGCCUCGCGCUCUUGGAGCGGCCGAUGUCGGAUUAGCUAGUUGGUGAGGUAAAGGCUCACCAAGGCGACGAUCCGUAGCAGGUCUGAGAGGAUGAUCUGCCACACUGGAACUGAGACACGGUCCAGACUCCUACGGGAGGCAGCAGUGGGAAUUUUGGACAAUGGGGGCAACCCUGAUCCAGCCAUGCCGCGUGAGUGAAGAAGGCC
rnacentral:rRNA from 1 species